GAGAGAAAGAGAGAGAAUCACAGUACAUUACCUUCUUCGUCUUCGUCUAGUUACUCCAUCAUCAUGCUGCUGCUUCGUCGUCGUCGUCGUCUAUAUCUGGAAAUUGGCCAAUGGCUCUCUCAGUGUGAAGGAGGAGGGACCAAUGGGCAUUGAUUUGGUCCCGCAAAUCUCGUAGCGAAGCGCCUCUUCUCUCUCUCUCUCCUUU
rnacentral:sRNA from 1 species